AUCCAGACGACGAGUCCCAAAUAGGACAAAAUGCGCGCGGAUCCUGGAU
rnacentral:hammerhead_ribozyme from 1 species